UACGUAGGGUGCAAGCGUUAUUCGGAAUUACUGGGCGUAAAGCGUGCGCAGGCGGUUUUGUAAGCCUGUCGUGAAAGCCCCGGGCUCAACCUGGGAAUUGCGAUGGAGACUGCAAGGCUUGAAUCUGGCAGAGGGGGGUAGAAUUCCACGUGUAGCAGUGAAAUGCGUAGAGAUGUGGAGGAACACCGAUGGCGAAGGCAGCCCCCUGGGUCAAGAUUGACGCUCAUGCACGAAAGCGUGGGGAGCAAACAGG
rnacentral:rRNA from 1 species